rnacentral:misc_RNA from 1 species
UGGUAGGAUGAAUGGGA